ACUCUGAUGCAGCAACGCCGCGUGGAGGAUGACGCGAUCUUCGGUGUGUAAACUCCUUUUAAGAGGGAAGAUAAUGACGGUACCUCUUGAAUAAGCACCGGCUAACUCCGUGCCAGCAGCCGCGGUAAU
rnacentral:rRNA from 1 species